rnacentral:rRNA from 1 species
CUACGGGUGGCUCCAGUGGGGAAUAUUGCACAAUGGAGGAAACUCUGAUGCAGCAACGCCGCGUGGAGGAUGACACUUUUCGGAGCGUAAACUCCUUUUAUAUAGGAAGAUAAUGGCGGUACUAUAUGAAUAAGCACCGGCUAACUCCGUGCCAGCAGCCGCGGUAAUACGGAGGGUGCAAGCGUUACUCGGAAUCACUGGGCGUAAAGAGCGUGUAGGCGGGUUAAUAAGUCAGAAGUGAAAUCCUAUGGCUCAACCAUAGAACUGCUUUUGAAACUGUUAACCUAGAGUGUGGGAGAGGUAGAUGGAAUUUCUGGUGUAGGGGUAAAAUCCGUAGAGAUCAGAAGGAAUACCGAUUGCGAAGGCGAUCUACUGGAACAUAACUGACGCUGAGACGCGAAAGCGUGGGGAGCAAACAGGAUUAGAUACCCGAGUAGUC